UACGAAGGGUGCAAGCGUUAAUCGGAAUUACUGGGCGUAAAGCGUGCGUAGGCGGUUUCUUAAGUCUGCUGUGAAAGCCCUGGGCUCAACCUGGGAAUGGCGGUGGAUACUGAGAAGCUGGAGUACGGUAGAGGAAGGUGGAAUUCCCGGUGUAGCGGUGAAAUGCGUAGAGAUCGGGAGGAACAUCAGUGGCGAAGGCGGCCUUCUGGACCAGUACUGACGCUGAGGCACGAAAGCGUGGGGAGCAAACAGGG
rnacentral:rRNA from 1 species